AAUCAGCAAGACUCCGUGGGCGUAGGACCCUCCAAGCCAGGUGCGAUAUAAUGUCGUGGUGCGCCGUUUUUUAAGCUGGUUGGAAAAGCGCAGUAUUCGCGUGGGAGUGACCCGAUUUUCCAGUGAGAUGAACCCGGUACCUCAGAUUGAAAUGCAGAAAUCACCCGUCUUCUGCGUCGCUCACGCUGGGAGCUGUAGACCGGAGCUGUUCCUAUUCGGCCAUCUUGGCUCCUCCCUCAGGAUUGGCAAACACAAAUCAUGUUCCAAGUUCUGCCUUCCACCUGAGUGAAAUACAUCACCGCUUUCCCUGCUCCCGCCGCCAUUAAAAUUGUGUUUGGCAUCUGACCACCAAGAUACAGAUAUUUCCUAGACUGUUUUGCAGCUAGGUACUUAGAUAGUAAUGAAGAUAGGGGCCACCAUUCCCUGUGAAAAUCAAGUGGGAAAGUCCUGAGUCCUUUAAUGACUUUACAGAGGACAGAAUAAACUCCUAUCAUAUUCAUGCAAUUGUGCCUAUGGG
rnacentral:lncRNA from 1 species